AAUGAACGCUGGCGGCGUGCCUAACACAUGCAAGUCGAACGAGAAAGGGGCCUUCGGGCCCUGAGUAAAGUGGCGAACGGGUGAGUAACGCGUAGGUAACCUGUCCUCGAGUGGGGAAUAACCUGGCGAAAGCCGGGCUAAUACCGCAUGACAUCCUCAGCUCUCCGGAGCGGAGGAUCAAAGGUGGCGAACUUCGAGUGCUGACGCUCGGAGGGGGCGGUCGUCGUCCCGUACCUAGUUACGCGUUUAGGGUUGGUAGGGUAAACGGGUAACCCCGGACCCCCAAACCGGAACGGUUCCGUUACGUAGGGUUAGGGGUCCGGACCGG
rnacentral:rRNA from 1 species